GAGUUUGAUCAUGGCUCAGGAUGAACGCUAGCGGGAGGCUUAACACAUGCAAGUCGAGGGGCAUCAUUCACUUCGGUGAGAUGGCGACCGGCGGACGGGUGAGUAACGCGUAUGCAACCUACCUUAUACAAAGGGAUAGCCCAUGGAAACGUGGAUUAAUACUUUAUAGUACUAUAAAUAUGCAUAUAUUAAUAGUUAAAACUACGGUGGUAUAAGAUGGGCAUGCGUCUGAUUAGCUAGAUGGUGAGGUAAUGGCUCACCAUGGCAACGAUCAGUAGGGGUUCUGAGAGGAUUAUCCCCCACACUGGUACUGAGACACGGACCAGACUCCUACGGGAGGCAGCAGUGAGGAAUAUUGGUCAAUGGACGAGAGUCUGAACCAGCCAUCCCGCGUGCAGGAUGACGGCCCUAUGGGUUGUAAACUGCUUUUCUAUGCCAAGAAACCUUACUACGUGUAGUAAGUUGACGGUAGCAUAGGAAUAAGGACCGGCUAACUCCGUGCCAGCAGCCGCGGUAAUACGGAGGGUCCAAGCGUUAUCCGGAUUCAUUGGGUUUAAAGGGUGCGCAGGCGGGCUUGUAAGUCAGUGGUGAAAUACUGCCGCUUAACGGUAGAACUGCCAUUGAUACUGCAAGUCUUGAAUAUGGUUGAGGUAGGCGGAAUGUGUUGUGUAGCGGUGAAAUGCAUAGAUAUAACACAGAACGCCAAUUGCGAAGGCAGCUUACUAAGCCAUUAUUGACGCUGAGGCACGAAAGCGUGGGGAGCGAACAGGAUUAGAUACCCUGGUAGUCCACGCCGUAAACGAUGUUCACUCGCUGUCUGCGAUAUACAGUAGGCGGCUUAGCGAAAGCAUUAAGUGAACCACCUGGGGAGUACGAUCGCAAGGUUGAAACUCAAAUGAAUUGACGG
rnacentral:rRNA from 1 species